UGGUCUAUACUCUUCCUUGGUCAUUUUCGUUCUUCUUCAGGCACAUCAGAGCGCUACAGUUUUUAACAUUACUGCAGCCAAACCACCCUUUCAGAAUCAAACUCGUCUCCUCCAGUCAAAUUUCGAGCUCGGUUUCUUCAACCCUGAUGUAUCAGCAAAUCAAUAUGUGAAGAUAUGGUACAAGAAUGCGACUCCUUCCAAGAUCGUCUGGGUCGCCAAUAGGGAUACAUGGCUUGCAUAUCCAGAUCAAUCUGUGAAAUUAACAAUAGGCUGCAAUGGGAAUCUGAAGCUGAUGGAUAAGCAACAGAACGUAGUUUGGCCCACCAAUGUUUCUGUCCGGUCAAACUAUACUUCAGCAAUGCUUUCAGAUGGUGGAAACUUUGUCCUGCAAGACGGGAAUUCAAUUGAAAUAUGGGUAAGCUUCAAUGAUCCAACUUAUACUCUUCUACCAAACAUGAAGAUAGGAAUAAACACCAGAAACGGAGACAGUAUUUAGUUUCCUGGAAAAUGAAAAUGAUCCAUCAUCUGGAAAUUUCAUCACUCGGAGUACGUCGGAGACUGCCACAAAUUGUCACUUGGAAUGGCUUGAACCCUUUAUGGAGAAGUGGACCACAGGAUAAAUCAAUAUUCAUUGGCAUACCAGGAAUGGAUUCCUCAUACUUCAAUGGUUACAAUCUCCGGCAAAAUCUUCAGCAGCGAACCACUUAUUUCUCUGCUGAAUAUAAUAACAUCUCUUUGUGUGCUUAUGACUUCACUUCACCUGGGGGAAUUCUUACAAUAAUGUGUUGGGAUGAUGGAACCAAGAGUUGGUUUAAAGAUUGGGUGGCAUUGAACAACAGUUGCCAAUUUAAUGGAACUUGCAUCCUUUUGGUGUCUGCAACUCACUUAACUCUCCUAUAUGCCCUUGCAUAAAGGGGUUUACACCGAGAUUGAAAGAAGAGUGGAACAGCAGAAAUUGGACCAGGGGUUGCAUUAGAGAAACAGAAUUGAAUUGUUAGAAGAACACAAGCAGGCCAGCUUCAAUGCAGGUGAAGAAAGAUGUCUUUGUGCGGAUGAACCAGAUGAAAGUGCCUGAUUCUGUGGAAUAUUUAUCAGACAUCAGAGAUGAAGGAGGAUGCCAAAUCUGGUGCCUGAAUAAUUGUUCUUGCCUGGCUCAUUCUUAUAUCAGCAUGAGAGGGUGUUUUGUCUGGGCUAAAGAUCUCAUCAAUGUUCAGGAGUUUUCAAUAGCUGGCCAAGAAAUAUAUAUUCGGGUCGCACAUGACAAUAUACGUACAAGAGGUUUGACUACAAUGAGUUUCAAUUGAACUGUAUCACACAUCUUGCAAUUCUUUAUUCAUCUCAGGCAUGUCAACACAAGCAAAACUUAUCAUCAGCUUAAGUACUGUAAUUGCCAUCAUGUUCGUAGGAGCUGCAAUUUUUGUCCUCUGUGAGUCAAGAGAUAGCAAAAGAGGAGAAAUGUCAUAUGGAAUCGCAUGGAAAGAUCAGCUGAAGCAAGAUGAUGCAUCCAAAUUGACGCUGUUCACUUUUGGUAGCUUACUUAUUGUGACAGACAACUUUGGUUUGGCCCAGUUUAUGAGAUUCAAGAAGGAAAGCAGAACUCAACU